rnacentral:misc_RNA from 1 species
GAAAUGCGAUAAGUAAUGUGAAUUGCAGAAUUCAGUGAAUCAUCGAAUCUUUGAACGCACAUUGCGCCCGCCAGUAUUCUGGCGGGCAUGUCUGUUCGAGCGUCAUUUCAACCAUCAAGCCCCCCGGCUUGUGUUGGGGACCUGCGGCUGCCGCAGGCCCUGAAAAGCAGUGGCGGGCUCGCUGUCACACCGAGCGUAGUAGCAUACAUCUCGCUCUGGGCGUGCUGCGGGUUCCGGCCGUUAAACCACCUUCGUAACCCAAGGUUGACCUCGGAUCAGGUAGGAAGACCCGCUGAACUUAAGC